UAACGGCCGCACACCUCCAGCGACUGCACACCCGGAGACGGCCGAUAGGUGGUGCGUGACUGACCAACUAAGGAUGCCAAAGAGUGUCCGGUUGUCGGCCUCGAGCGAGCGGCCGCGAACAGGUCAGGUGCGGGUACAGCCGAGGCUGGUGCUCGGCAGAGGUGCCGGUGGAGGAGGGACGGGAGGGUAGGGCGGGGGGAGCGCGAGGCAGUAGGAGUCGGGGUAGUCGGGCCCCUGGGUCGGCAGCCGGACGGAGGGCCGAGAUGGCGAGGAGCGGCGGCCACCUUCGCGGCGGCAGGCCGUUCCCGCCGCUCAUGGCCGGGAGGAAGCGGCUGCUGAAGGAGGAACGGAAGAAGGCCCGGUUCUACCACCUCCACAAACAGCUCUUCACAUUUAUAAACCUUCUCUCGUUUACAGAACCGUAAACAUAGUUGUGCACGUUUGACGGUUGGGUCUGGAAGAAGUUCCUAGUGUACCCACAGAUAGACAUAUACCUCGUUUUAAAACUUCUGAUAUCGACGGUCAAGUUGAAACCUCAAGGUGGGGGUGGAUAGCUGUGGCUGUUCCGGGACUUCCUUGGUACGAACCUGUAUACGUGUUUGCGCUCUGCCGCGUCUCUCGAACCGUCGUCGCCACCGGGUCUUCCAGAUACAGGGGUUCAAACU
rnacentral:rRNA from 1 species